UGUAUGAAAUAGAUGCCAAUAGGUUUUAUAGGUAGGAAAUUUCAAAUAUAAGAUAAGAAAUUUGUGGUGCACACCACAGCCGGACUUGGCCCUGAGGCCAUCACGUAGAGAAGCGCAUCCACCGAAAAUACCCACCGACCUUGACUUGGGGCGCAAGCACGCUAAGGAGGCUCAUUAGGCCAAAGCGCCCCAAGCUCGGUCGAUGGAUAUUUAAGGUAGGAGUGGAGGCUCAGGGGACAAGUUCAGCAUAGCCCGAGCUCGACACCCUAGUCGUUGGUGCCCAAGUGGAGUGUACACUAAAACUCGGAGUUGACUUCAUUUUAUCGAGGUGCCGGACCUUCCAGUGUGCCACAUUGGACCCCGCACCACAUUGGUGGCAGCGCAAUUUUCGACCCACGCUACCGAAGGAAGACCAGCUCAGAAUGACCAUCCUGACACUCAACAUCACCGGAAUUCUCCUCCUGAUAGCAGCAGCUGGAGGGCUGGUAAAUGAUCUUACGUCUGGCAUAGUCUUUCUACGACAAAAAACGUUUUUGCUCAGCAAUGACAUCUGGAAUGUCAUCAUGGAAAUUCCUCUUCAACCAUAUAAGGAUGCGAUUGAAAAGACAUCUCAUAUGAUCAACACUACAAUGCAGGAGUCGUGGGCCACGACAAACCCAGACAAACUAGCGGAACAUGUUCAGCUGGAAAUGGAAAGUUUCAUCCUCCAACUACAGAACCUCAGGGACGAAAUCAAUGAACUAUCAACGGAAUCGCUCAUCAGGGAGAAAAGGAACUUCGCGCCUUUUGGCUUCAUAGGAAGCUCCUUCCACUACUUGUUCGGACUGAGUACGGACGAGGAGACGAGUAAAUUAAAUAAUAAACUAUUAAAUGUAAAAGCACUAACAACAGAAAAUCAUCACGAUUUAGAGCAACAAAUUUCAAUUCUAGGGGACAUACACAAUUUUGAAGAAAAAAGCAAUAAAAUUAUUAAAGAUAUAGCAAAAGCUACAGAGCACAUUGACGAAAAAUUCGAGAAAGUAGCAAACACGUAUAUUAACGAGACAAAUUUUAAGUUCAUAAUGGUGUCAAAAUACUUUGAUGUAUCUUUCUUUUUGAAAGAAAUUCAGUUCAAUAUAUUAGAAAUUAAGGACAACAUUUUUAAAUUAAAGAUCUCAUUGCAAAGUGCCGCACACGGCACAUUAACUGAAUUCCUAAUGCCAAAAAAGAGAUUACUGUCAGUCCUAACGAAAAUCCAAGCCAAUUUACCACCGCAAUAUAGUUUGAUUUUCCCGCUCAGAUCCACUCAGAUCUCAAAAUUUUAUAACAUCAUAUCAUGUCACGCAAUAUAAUAGAUAAUAAGAUCCGUAUUUUCCUUAACAUUCCGUUGAAAGCGGAAAAUAGAAUAUUUGAUUUAUAUAAGUUGGCGCCUUUACCUCACAACGUAAAAAACGUUUCUGUAAGCAUAUACAUUGACCCCCCCCACCAUAUAUUGCAAUAAGCAAGAAUAAAGAAACAUAUCUCCCGUUGGACCAAGAAGAGCUAGAAAAAUGUCACAAUAAGGCCAUAAUGAUAUGUCCUGCGAACAUACCGAUUAGAACCUUUAAGCAAAAAACAUGCAUUUUUGCGCUAAUUAGGAAUAUGUCUAACGACAUCAUAACGUACUGCGAUAGAAUAAUCACAACAAGAAAUAGAGCCCCACUCUUCUAUAAACCGCAGAUAGAUAACAUAUGGAUAUACAGUGUGGCAACUCCCGUAACAGCAAUCUUGCAAUGCCCAGAAGAUGGCGAAAAAGUAGGCAAGCAAGUUGAGUUGGUAGGAAACAACUACACAAACAUUCCACCCAAAUGUUCUCUAUCUGCGGACACGUUUAGGAUAGACGCAUCAGAAUAUUCACCUCAGUAGAAAACCCCGAAAUCGCCUCAUUUUUAUGCCCACAGUAAAAAACUUGCUCUCGCAAAAAGAUAUGUUACUUCUCAGCAACCUCACAAAGGACCCAAGUUUCUCGAAAAAAUUGCAAGACUUGGUUAAGGAUGCAAAUGGUCUAGAAAAAGAGAUCCCAGAUGGAAUAAAAAUACAGGCGCUGAAAUAUAAUAUACAAAACCACUUAGAUAAACCCCACAGUCCAUUCGAAACGUCCAAUCACCAUUACAUAGUGUACAUAACCAUAAUUAUACUCGUUGUAGCAAUACUUGGACUACUAUGCCAGGUUCAUUUAAUCAGAAGAAGUGGCUACGGCGAACAUGUUAGGUACAGAAACAACGAAGUGUAUUUAGACACUUCAGAAGAGGCCUAAAUGAAACUUGUUUUCUCUUGAAUACAAAAAAGGCCAACUUUUACAAAUAAGGGUGAAGGAAAUAGCUAGUACUUAAAACUUAAGACUUCUUAGAAUUAAGUCCACACAUUUAGGAGACAUAGAAAUGACUCCGUUGUAAAAAUUAUAUUCAAUCCGUAAGCGUCGUUUUCAAAAAGUUUCAAAUGUUGUACUUUAUCACCUUUCAUAUUGUUAUUUUUAAUUUUUAAUGUUGCGUUUCAAAUGUUCUUUUCAAUUACUUUUUAAAUGUUUUUAAAUAAACUAACGAAGCAAAGGCAAACUUCGGCGAGGGCGCCGAGCUUCGAAGGGCCCCAGGAUUGUGGUGCACACCACAGCCGGACUUGGCCCCUGAGGCCAUCACGUAGAGAAGCGCAUCCACCGAAAAUACCCACCGACCUUGACUUGGGGCGCAAGCACGCUAAGGAGGCUCAUUAGGCCAAAGCGCCCCAAGCUCGGUCGAUGGAUAUUUAAGGUAGGAGUGGAGGCUCAGGGGACAAGUUCAGCAUAGCCCGAGCUCGACACCCUAGUCGUUGGUGCCCAAGUGGAGUGUACACUAAAACUCGGAGUUGACUUCAUUUUAUCGAGGUGCCGGACCUUCCAGUGUGCCACAUUGGACCCCGCACCACAAAAUUGUUCUUUGCUCAUCGCGGAGAUGCAGGUGGUGAGGAGGGGGCCCAAGGCCUUCUCCUCUCCCCCUCGAAGCUUAAA
rnacentral:lncRNA from 1 species